rnacentral:rRNA from 1 species
UUGAAAAGAGAGUUAAAAAGCACGUGAAAUUGUUGAAAGGGAAGCGCUUGCGACCAGACUCGCCUCCAGGGUUCAGCCGGCAUUCGUGCCGGUGUACUUCCCUGGGGGCGGGCCAGCGUCGGUUUGGGCGGCCGGUCAAAGGCUCCCGGAAUGUAGUGCCCUCCGGGGCACCUUAUAGCCGGGAGUGCAAUGCGGCCAGCCUGGACCGAGGAACGCGCUUCGGCACGGACGCUGGCAUAAUGGUCGUAAACGACCCGUCUUGAAACACGGAACCAAGACGCGGGUCGUUUACGACCAUUAUGC